UAUUUUAUUUUAUUUUCUUUUAAUUCAGGCAACCACCAGAUUCUCGGCUACAAAGUUCAACGUGGAAUAUAUUUAGCAUUAACUUGUGCAAAGUGAUAUUUGUGUCUAUGGGAUGAUGACUCAUUGGAAUUUGGCAACUGAUUUGUGGAUGUCGUGGGAUGCCUUUUAUAUAUUUGUGUUAGGAGCCUUAUCGAAUUAUUUACGUUUAUUUUACUUUUAGCGUAUUGAUUCUAUCCAUUCGUUGUUCUCGGAUGAAAAUGUCAGUCACAGAGAUACCUGAAGUAAAUUUAUUGUCAUCUAAAAUAUUGAACCACAACUUAUCUUUCGGCUCUGUGUAAUUUUACCUCUAUUUGACAUAUUAUAUUUCAAAUUAGUAUUUCAAAGUUCUUACCAAAACAGAAAAAAAAAAUUGAUAUUAAAUUGUAUAAACCUCAAUGCACCUUACAACUGAUUGGUUUUUUCCCAGCCCAUUCCACCACAAGAAGAGAAAGAAUUGACGGAGACGUUGCAAGAUAUAAUUGGACAGGGCAAGAAGGUUAAGCUAGAGCAGAAGAUUGAUCCCAGCAUACUUGGUGGUCUAGUUGUAGAAUUUGGCGAGAAGGUAUUGGACAUGUCCAUUAAAACCCGGGCACGUCAAAUGGAGAGGUUCUUGCGUCAACCUGUAACUUCUGAUGGACUCUGAAAAGAUGUUCAACUUCUGUGGCACAAUGUCCAUCGUCGUCAUUCUGUCAUCCAUGUUAAUGGAAAAAGAUAUUUUCUUUUUUUUCCCCGUUAUUUUUGUUGCCCUUUUACCUUAACUUGAUAUGAUGGUAUACAACCGUCUAAGUGGAAAUAAGAGUUUCGGUGGAUUAUAAUCUAGUAAAAGCUACUUGGUUUAAGAGUAUCUUAUUCCCAGGUACUUCAGAAUCGAUGCUAA